ACGCUGGCGGCGUGCCUAAUACAUGCAAGUCGAGCGAACGGACGGGAAGCUUGCUUCUCUGAUGUUAGCGGCGGACGGGUGAGUAACACGUGGAUAACCUACCUAUAAGACUGGGAUAACUUCGGGAAACCGGAGCUAAUACCGGAUAAUAUUUUGAACCGCAUGGUUCAAAAGUGAAAGACGGUCUUGCUGUCACUUAUAGAUGGAUCCGCGCUGCAUUAGCUAGUUGGUAAGGUAACGGCUUACCAAGGCAACGAUGCAUAGCCGACCUGAGAGGGUGAUCGGCCACACUGGAACUGAGACACGGUCCAGACUCCUACGGGAGGCAGCAGUAGGGAAUCUUCCGCAAUGGGCGAAAGCCUGACGGAGCAACGCCGCGUGAGUGAUGAAGGUCUUCGGAUCGUAAAACUCUGUUAUUAGGGAAGAACAUAUGUGUAAGUAACUGUGCACAUCUUGACGGUACCUAAUCAGAAAGCCACGGCUAACUACGUGCCAGCAGCCGCGGUAAUACGUAGGUGGCAAGCGUUAUCCGGAAUUAUUGGGCGUAAAGCGCGCGUAGGCGGUUUUUUAAGUCUGAUGUGAAAGCCCACGGCUCAACCGUGGAGGGUCAUUGGAAACUGGAAAACUUGAGUGCAGAAGAGGAAGGUGGAAUUCCAUGUGUAGCGGUGAAAUGCGCAGAGAUAUGGAGGAACACCAGUGGCGAAGGCGACUUUCUGGUCUGUAACUGACGCUGAUGUGCGAAAGCG
rnacentral:rRNA from 1 species